AAAUUGAAGAGUUUGAUCAUGGCUCAGAUUGAACGCUGGCGGCAGGCCUAACACAUGCAAGUCGAACGGUAACAGGAAGCAGCUUGCUGCUUCGCUGACGAGUGGCGGACGGGUGAGUAAUGUCUGGGAAACUGCCUGAUGGAGGGGGAUAACUACUGGAAACGGUGGCUAAUACCGCAUAACGUCGUAAGACCAAAGAGGGGGACCUUCGGGCCUCUUGCCAUCAGAUGUGCCCAGAUGGGAUUAGCUUGUUGGUGGGGUAACGGCUCACCAAGGCGACGAUCCCUAGCUGGUCUGAGAGGAUGACCAGCCACACUGGAACUGAGACACGGUCCAGACUCCUACGGGAGGCAGCAGUGGGGAAUAUUGCACAAUGGGCGCAAGCCUGAUGCAGCCAUGCCGCGUGUAUGAAGAAGGCCUUCGGGUUGUAAAGUACUUUCAGCGGGGAGGAAGGUGUUGUGGUUAAUAACCGCAGCAAUUGACGUUACCCGCAGAAGAAGCACCGGCUAACUCCGUGCCAGCAGCCGCGGUAAUACGGAGGGUGCAAGCGUUAAUCGGAAUUACUGGGCGUAAAGCGCACGCAGGCGGUCUGUCAAGUCGGAUGUGAAAUCCC
rnacentral:rRNA from 1 species